rnacentral:rRNA from 1 species
UACGUAGGGUGCAAGCGUUAAUCGGAAUUACUGGGCGUAAAGCGUGCGCAGGCGGCUUUGCAAGACAGAUGUGAAAUCCCCGGGCUUAACCUGGGAACUGCAUUUGUGACUGCAUGGCUGGAGUGCGGCAGAGGGGGGUGGAAUUCCGCGUGUAGCAGUGAAAUGCGUAGAGAUGCGGAGGAACACCGAUGGCGAAGGCAGCCCCCUGGGCUAACACUGACGCUGAGGCACGAAAGCGUGGGGAGCAAACAGG